rnacentral:rRNA from 1 species
CCUACGGGCGGCAGCAGUGAGGAAUAUUGGUCAAUGGACGAGAGUCUGAACCAGCCAAGUAGCGUGAAGGAUGACUGCCCUAUGGGUUGUAAACUUCUUUUAUAUGGGAAUAAAAUGUUCCACGUGUGGGAUUUUGUAUGUACCAUAUGAAUAAGGAUCGGCUAACUCCGUGCCAGCAGCCGCGGUAAUACGGAGGAUCCGAGCGUUAUCCGGAUUUAUUGGGUUUAAAGGGAGCGUAGGUGGAUUGUUAAGUCAGUUGUGAAAGUUUGCGGCUCAACCGUAAAAUUGCAGUUGAAACUGGCAGUCUUGAGUACAGUAGAGGUAGGCGGAAUGCGUGGUGUAGCGGUGAAAUGCUUAGAUAUCACGAAGAACUCCGAUUGCGAAGGCAGUUCACUGGACUGCAACUGACACUGAGGCUCGAAAGUGUGGGUAUCAAACAGGAUUAGAUACCCGUGUAGUC